UGAAUACGAGAUGCUACGGCGUCGAAGCAGUCUAUGUCAUACUUCCAAGAAAAGCUCGCACUGUCAUAAACAAAUAAUGCCUGUACCAUAACCGACACAGGUGGGUAGGUAGAGUAUACUAAGGGGCGCGAGAUAACUCUCUCUAAGGAACUCGGCAAAAUGACUCCGCAACUUCGGGAGAAGGAGUGCCUUAUUUAUAAGGUUGCAAUAACAAGAUCCAAGCAACUGUUUAUCAAAAACACAGGUCUCCGCUAAGUCGUAAGACGAUGUAUGGGGGCUGACGCCUGCCCAGUGCCAGAAGGUUAAAGAAGUUGGUUAGCAUUCGCGAAGCUGAUAACUGAAGCCCUGGUGAACGGCGGCCGUAACAAUAACGGUCCUAAGGUAGCGAAAUUCCUUGUCGGGUAAGUUCCGACCCGCACGAAAGGCGUAAUGAUUUGGAUACUGUCUCGGAGAGGGGCUCGGUGAAAUAGACUUGUCUGUGAAGAUGCGGACUACCUGCACCAGGACAGAAAGACCCUAUGAAGCUUUACUGUAACUUGAGAUUGAAAUUGGACUUUACUUGCGCAGUAUAGGUGGGAGGCGUUGAUAAUAUUCUUGCGGGAUUAUUUGAGCCAUCAGUGAGAUACCACUCUUGUAAUGUUAGAUUUCUAACUUUGUAUCAUUAUCUGGUCAAAGGACAGUUUCAGGCGGGCAGUUUGACUGGGGCGGUCGCCUCCUAAACGGUAACGGAGGCGCACAAAGGUUUCCUCUGAACGGGUAGAAAUCGUAUCUAGAGUGUAAAGGCAUAAGGAAGCUUGACUGUGAGACCUACAAGUCGAGCAGGGACGAAAGUCGGUCUUAGUGAUCUGACGGUGCUGAGUGGAAAGGCCGUCACUCAACGGAUAAAAGUUACUCUAGGAUAACAGGCUGAUCUCCCCCAAGAGUUCACAUCGACGGGGAGGUUUGGCACCUCGAUGUCGGCUCAUCGCAUCCUGGGGCGGUAGUACGUCCCAAGGGUUGGGCUGUUCGCCCAUGAAAGCGGUACGCGAGCUGGGUUCAGAACGUCGUGAGACAGUUCGGUCCAUAUCCGGUGUAGGCGUUAGAAUAUUGAGAGGAGCCUUCUUUAGUACGAGAGGACCGAGAAGGACAUACCUCUGGUGUACCAGUUAUCGUGCCAACGGUAAACGCUGGGUAGCUAUGUAUGGAGUGGAUAACCGCUGAAAGCAUCUAAGUGGGAAGCCCACCUCAAGAUAAGUAUUCUC
rnacentral:rRNA from 1 species